rnacentral:tRNA from 1 species
GGGUAGGUGGCCGAGUGGUUAAAGGCGGCAGACUGUAAAUCUGCUCUGCACCGCAGUACGCUGGUUCGAAUCCAGCCCUGCCCACCA